AUUUCUUUGAUGAGCCUCUCCUUAUUUCUAAACUUUGGGGAAUUAAACUCUCUGUAAUUUCAUUAUCCCAUUGAAAGGCAGGAAGAAGCAGCUAAGCUCCAAAGAAGAUGGCAAUAAAAGUGAAAACUGGAGAAACCAGAGCCAAAGACAUUUCCACAGGUUUAAUUUCCAAAGAUAGAAUUGGGGGUCUGCAAGUAUAAAUGUUUAUGUUGUUCUUGCAUAUUCCCAAACUGUCUCUAAAAGUAUUGCACAAAUUUCACUGCCACCAAUAUUCUAGGACAAGAACCUGUAACUCGCCAAGCUGCAGACGGCAGGAACAAAAGAGUUGUAACACUCCUGUUUGCCAAGCUGCAGGUAGCAGGAACAAAAGAGCUGUAACCCACUCAUUCACUGAGCUGCAGAUGGUAGGAAUAAAAGAGCUGUAACCCUUCCUCCUGCUCACCAAACUAUGGGAACGAAGAAGCCAUAAUACUAACACUAGCAGUUUCACUGCAAGUAAAACUGGUUGUCUUCAGAUAACUAAUUGUCUUCAGAUAACAUCUUAUUCCCUAUAGAAUUAAUUGAGCCGACCUCAGAUAUCUUAAGAAAAAAUAUAUAUUAAAUUCCAAAUACAGUCAUUAUUCAGUUGCUAAUAAAUGACUGUUGUAGUUCUUCAUUCCAGGUUCUUCAAAU